rnacentral:rRNA from 1 species
GAAACUAAAAAGGAUUCCCUCAGUAAUGGCGAAUGAACAGGGAGCAGCUCAACAUGGAAAUCGUGGCCUGUGGCCAUGAAUUGUAAUUUCAAGACGCAUUGCCAACGGUGGCGCAGAUGUAAACCUUUUGGAAAAGAGAACCAUUGAGGGUGAGAGUCCUGUUUGUCAUCUGCAGUCCUUCGUGUACGGCAUGCGCUCAAAGAGUCACGUUCCUCGGGAUUGGAGCGCAAAUUGGGUGGUAAAUUUCAUCUCAAGCUAAAUACAGAUUCGAGACCGAUAGCAAACAAGUACCAUGAGGGAAAGAUGAAAAGGACUUUGAAAAGAGAGUUAAAAGUGCUUGAACUUGCUGGAAGGAAAGCGGAUGGAACCAGUGCGGCUCGGUGAGAUUGUUGCGCGUUCCAGUGAUGGCGACUUGUGUUAGCGCAAGCGGCGCAUGGCGCUCUGAUCUGAAUGCACGUGAUGCUUCUUACCUUGUGGGUCACCGUCAGCGUGGUGGCGAGGAUAACUCUUGGGACAUGGUAGCUCGCCUCUGGGCGAGUGAAUGUGCCUUGUGGAAUUUGCCACCAUGUUGCGUCGACGUUGCGAGGUCGAGUUGCCAAUCGACAGCGCCACUUCCAUUGCGAGCGGCAUGUGUUGGUUCAUAGGGCACCUUCCUGACAACAACGGUGACCAAAUGGUUCUUUUCGACCCGUCUUGAAACACGGACCAAGGAGUCUAACAUACGUGCGAGUUCCUGGGUGGAAAAAACCUACCCGCGCAAUGAAAGUGAGUGCUGAGAUCCUUGCAUCAGCAGCCGACCGAUCAAUUGGGAGAGGUUUGAGCAAGAGCACGCCUGUUAGGACCCGAAAGAUGGUGAACUAUGCCUGAGAAGGGCGAAGUCUGGGGAAACUCAGGUGGAGGCUCGUAGCGAUACUGACGUGCAAAUCGUUCGUCAUACUUGGGUAUAGGGGCGAAAGACUAAUCGAACCAUCUAGUAGCUGGUUCCC